rnacentral:rRNA from 1 species
CCUACGGGGGGCAGCAGUCGAGAAUCAUUCACAAUGGGGGAAACCCUGAUGGUGCGACGCCGCGUGGGGGAAUGAAGGUCUUCGGAUUGUAAACCCCUGUCAUGUGGGAGCAAAUUAAAAAGAUAGUACCACAAGAGGAAGAGACGGCUAACUCUGUGCCAGCAGCCGCGGUAAUACAGAGGUCUCAAGCGUUGUUCGGAAUCACUGGGCGUAAAGCGUGCGUAGGCUGUUCCGUAAGUCGUGUGUGAAAGGCGCGGGCUCAACCCGCGGACGGCACAUGAUACUGCGAGACUAGAGUAAAGGAGGGGGAACAGGAAUUCUGGGUGUAGCAGGGAAAUGCGGAGAUA